GCCUGGGUGGCUCAGUCGGUUGAGCGUCCGACUUCAGCUCAGGUCACGAUCUCAACGGUUCGUGAGUUCGAGCCCCGCGUCAGGCU
rnacentral:tRNA from 1 species